rnacentral:rRNA from 1 species
AUGGCUUCAUCCGCCGCCGCUUCCUCCCCUCUCUCCGGCCAGAUCACCGAGCGCCUCACCCGCACCAACUACGUCUUAUGGCGCACCCAGAUCACGCCACAGCUGAGAGGGGCUGGAGUCUUCGGAUACGUUGAUGGAAGCACGGCGGAGCCGGCCAAGCUCGUCGUCAGCAAGGACAAGGAUGGAAAGGAGGAAGCCAUCCCCAAUCCCCUCCAUGCCGUCUGGUUCAGAGAGGACCAGCAGGUACUUGGGUAUCUUCUCAAUAAUCUGUCAAAAGAAGUAUUAGUGCAGGUGACUUCCAUCGCGCAUGCACGAGAGCUCUGGACAGCGUUGGCGAGCAUGUUCUCGUCGACGUCCCUGUCCCGCGUCAACAACAUCCGAGCUGCCCUCACAAAUGCGCAAAAGGGGACGCAAUCGGUGGCUACCUUCUUCGCGUACAUGCGGGGACUCGCCGACGAGCUCGCCGCGGCUGGCAAGCCGUUGAAGGAUGAUGAACUCAUCUCGUACAUCCUCAACGCACUCGACAUGGAGUAUCAGCCGCUGGUUUCCGCCCUCGACGCCAGAACCACUCCGGUCACCCUCGACGAAUUGUUCGGACAGAUGAGCAAUUUUGAUCAGAGGGUGGCUCUUUUCCAAGGCGCGGGAGGUGGCUUCAAGUCAUCUGCCAAUGUUGCCACCCGCGGCCGUGGCGGGGGCUCUCGUUACCGCGGUCCACCGCGGAACGGAAAGGGCAGGAGCGCCCACAACAGCAACAGCAGCGGCGCUACCAACACGCGCGGCGGCCGGCCUCCCUCCUCCAACAACAAAGGCCGCCGCAACAGCAGCUCCAACAACAGAUCACGCCCCGACAUCAGGUGCCAAAUCUGUGGCAAGCCGGGUCACUCGGCAAAGGACUGCUGGUAUCGUUUUGAGGAGGAUGAAGAUGACUCAUCUCAGGAUGAGAAGGUGGCCGGAGCUGCUGAUGGCUCUUACGGCGUCGACACAAAUUGGUACGUCGACAGCGGCGCCACAAACCACAUCACCGGUGAGCUGGAGAAGGUGACCAUGCGUGAGAAGUACCGUGGCAAAGAUCACAUCCACACUGCAAGUGGAGAAGGUAUGAAAAUUAGUCAUGUUGGUCACUCAAUUGUUAAAACCCCUCAUCGAAAAAUUCACCUUAGAAUUUUUUUGCAUGUCCCUAGCGCCUCAAAGAGUCUUCUUUCAGUCCAUCGUAUUGCUAUUGACAAUCAUGUCUUUCUUGAAUUUCACCCUCAUUUCUUUUUGAUCAAGGAUCAGGCAACGAAGAAGGUGCUUUAUCGAGGUAGAUGCGUUCGUGGGCUCUACCCUUUGAUUUCGGAGAUUAGAAGACUCAAUAAACAAGUUUUUAGUGCCACCAAAGUGUCUUCAACACGAUGGCACGAUCGUUUAGGGCAUGCAUCUUUUUCUUUAGUUGAGCGUUUGCUUAGGAAAAAUAAGCUCCCAUAUGUUGGAGAGCGGGAUGUCGAAACAGUUUGUGAUUCAUGUCAAAAGGCUAAAAGCCAUCAAUUACCUUAUCCAGUUUCUACCAGCAUUUCUACAAAACCUUUGCAACUUGUCUUCUCCAAUGUGUGGGGUCUUGCCCCCUCUUCUGUUGGUAGACACACGUAUUAUGUGAGUUUCAUAGACGACUAUAGCAAAUUUUCCUGGAUUUACCUUCUUAAGAAGCGAUCCGAUGUGUUUCAAGUCUUUCUGAACUUCCAAGCUCUUGUUGAGCGCCAAUUUGAUUGCAAAAUUCUUGCUCUCCAAUCCGACUGGGGUGGAGAAUAUGAAAAGUUAAAUUCUUUCUUUCAGAAAAUUGGCAUAUCUCAUCAUGUAUCUUGCCCACAUGCUCACCAACAAAACGGGUCUGCUGAACGCAAGCACAGACACAUCGUUGAAGUUGGUCUAGCAUUACUUGCUGGUGCCUCUAUGCCCCUCAAGUUUUGGGAUGAGGCUUUCCUUGCGGCUGUUCACAUCAUCAACAUGCUACCUAGUCGUGUCAUCAACUAUGAAACUCCUAGAGCGUCUCCUUCAUACCAAACCCGACUACACUACUCUUCGAGUGUUUGGUUGCGCCUGUUGGCCCAAUCUUCGUCCCUACAACUCUCGCAAGCUCAUGUUUCGCUCCAAACAGUGCGUCUUCCUAGGCUAUAG